CUGGGGACUUAGCUCAGUGGUAGAGUGUUUACUUAGAAAGGGCAAGACCCUGGGUUCCAUCCUCAGCUCCUAGG
rnacentral:tRNA from 1 species